rnacentral:rRNA from 1 species
UACGUAGGGGGCAAGCGUUGUCCGGAUUUAUUGGGCGUAAAGGGCGCGUAGGCGGUCAGCACAAGUCAGUUGUGAAAUCUCCGGGCUUAACUCGGAAAGGUCAACUGAUACUGUGCGACUAGAGUGCAGAAGGGGCAACUGGAAUUCUCGGUGUAGCGGUGAAAUGCGCAGAUAUCAGGAAGAACACCCGUGGCGAAGGCGGUUCUCUGGGACGGUACUGACGCUGAGACGCGAAAGCGUGGGGAGCGAACAGG